rnacentral:tRNA from 1 species
GGAGGGAUGGUCGAGUGGUUAAUGGCAGCGGACUGUAACUCCGCCCGCGAAAGCGUACACAGGUUCAAAUCCUGUUCCCUCCACCA